GAUGAACGCUGGCGGCGUGCCUAACACAUGCAAGUCGAGCGAGGGUUUGCUCAGUAUUGAGUAUUCUAAAACUAGAAUGUUCAAUUCUGAGCAAAACCAAGCGGCGGACGGGUGAGUAACGCGUGGGUAACCUGCCCUAUACACAUGGAUAACAUACUGAAAAGUUUACUAAUACAUGAUAAUAUAUAUUUGCGGCAUCGCAGAUAUAUCAAAGUGUUAGCGGUAUAGGAUGGACCCGCGUCUGAUUAGCUAGUUGGUGAGAUAACUGCCCACCAAGGCGACGAUCAGUAGCCGACCUGAGAGGGUGAUCGGCCACAUUGGAACUGAGACACGGUCCAAACUCCUACGGGAGGCAGCAGUGGGGAAUAUUGCACAAUGGGCGAAAGCCUGAUGCAGCAACGCCGCGUGAACGAUGAAGGUCUUCGGAUCGUAAAGUUCUGUUGCAGGGGAAGAUAAUGACGGUACCCUGUGAGGAAGCCCCGGCUAACUACGUGCCAGCAGCCGCGGUAAUACGUAGGGGACGAGCGUUGUCCGGAAUCACUGGGCGUAAAGGGCGCGUAGGCGGUUUUAUAAGUCAGAUGUGAAAGGUACCGGCUCAACCGGUGACGUGCAUUUGAAACUGUAAGACUUGAGUACUGAAGAGGCAAGCGGAAUUCCUAGUGUAGCGGUGAAAUGCGUAGAUAUUAGGAAGAACACCGGUGGCGAAGGCGGCUUGCUGGGCAGAUACUGACGCUGAGGUGCGAAAGCGUGGGGAGCGAACAGG
rnacentral:rRNA from 1 species